rnacentral:tRNA from 1 species
UCCAGGGUAGCCUAGCGGACAUGGCAUCUGCCCGGUAAGCGGAACGUUGUGGGUUCGAUUCCCGCCCCUGGAC